rnacentral:rRNA from 1 species
GGGGGGGUUCUGAGAGGAUUAUCCCCCACACUGGUACUGAGACACGGACCAGACUCCUACGGGAGGCAGCAGUGAGGAAUAUUGGUCAAUGGGCGCAAGCCUGAACCAGCCAUCCCGCGUGCAGGAUGACGGCCCUAUGGGUUGUAAACUGCUUUUGUUUGCCAAGAAUGUUACCUACGUGUAGGUAUUUGACGGUAGCAAAUGAAUAAGGACCGGCUAACUCCGUGCCAGCAGCCGCGGUAAUACGGAGGGUCCAAGCGUUAUCCGGAUUCAUUGGGUUUAAAGGGUGCGCAGGCGGAACUUUAAGUCAGUGGUGAAAUCUUGCCGCUUAACGGUAAAAUUGCCAUUGAUACUGAAGUUCUUGAAUAUGGUUGAGGUAGGCGGAAUGUGUUGUGUAGCGGUGAAAUGCAUAGAUAUGACACAGAACGCCGAUUGCGAAGGCAGCUUACUAAGCCAUGAUUGACGCUGAGGCACGAAAGCGUGGGGAGCGAACAGGAUUAGAUACCCUGGUAGUCCACGCCGUAAACGAUGAUCACUCGCUGUCUGCGAUACACAGUAGGCGGCUGAGCGAAAGCAUUAAGUGAUCCACCUGGGGAGUACGAUCGCAAGGUUGAAACUCAAAGGAAUUGACGGGGGCCCGCACAAGCGGAGGAACAUGUGGUUUAAUUCGAUGAUACGCGAGGAACCUUACCUGGGCUUAAAUGUAGAUUGCAUAGAGUAGAGAUAUUCUUUCCCUUCGGGGCUAUUUACAAGGUGCUGCAUGGUUGUCGUCAGCUCGUGCCGUGAGGUGUCGGGUUAAGUCCCAUAACGAGCGCAACCCCUAUCGUUAGUUGCUAGCAGGUAAUGCUGAGGACCCUAGCGAGACUGCCACCGUAAGGUGAGAGGAAGGUGGGGAUGACGUCAAAUCAGCACGGCCCUUAUGUCCAGGGCUACACACGUGUUACAAUGGCAGGUACAAAGGGCAGCUACACAGCGAUGUGAUGCUAAUCUCUAAAGCCUGUCCCAGUUCGGAUUGGAGUCUGCAACCCGACUCCAUGAAGUUGGAUUCGCUAGUAAUCGGAUAUCAGCCAUGAUCCGGUGAAUACGUUCCCGGGCCUUGUACACACCGCCCGUCAAACCAUGGAAGCUGGGGGUGCCUGAAGUCCGUAACCGCAAGGAGCGGCCUAGGGUAAAACUAGUAACUAGGGUUAAGUCGUAACAAGGUA